rnacentral:rRNA from 1 species
GGUAUGUAAAGCUCUAUCAGCAGGGAAGAUAAUGACGGUACCUGACUAAGAAGCACCGGCUAAAUACGUGCCAGCAGCCGCGGUAAUACGUAUGGUGCAAGCGUUAUCCGGAUUUACUGGGUGUAAAGGGAGCGCAGGCGGUGCGGCAAGUCUGAUGUGAAAGCCCGGGGCUCAACCCCGGUACUGCAUUGGAAACUGUCGUACUAGAGCGUCGGAGGGGUAAGCGGAAUUCCUAGUGUAGCGGUGAAAUGCGUAGAUAUUAGGAGGAACACCAGUGGCGAAGGCGGCUUACUGGACGAUAACUGACGCUGAGGCUCGAAAGCGUGGGGAGCAAACAGGAUUAGAUACCCUGGUAGUCCACGCCGUAAA